UUUUAGUAUUAGAGUUGUUACUACAACAAUGAGUGAUUGAGUUACAUUUUUAACUCAUAUUAAAGUUAAGUGCAAUUCAGAGAUAACUAAAAAGUUGGUUCAGUUAAUCUAGUUAUAGUGAUUUUUUUUUUAACUCAAAUCAAAAUCUAAAAAUUUAAUGAUGUUAUUGUAAUAAAAUUAAAAUUAAGGGAAAAAAAUAAAAUAUAUAAUCUCUAAAAUUAAGAGGCUAAAAGUAAAAAUUAAUUGGAAGUUUUAAUUUUUUUUUUCAGUCAUAAGACUUUACAGCCUUUGACAUCUCAAUCUAAGCCAAGAGACAACUGCAGUCUUUG
rnacentral:misc_RNA from 1 species